GUGCUCGCUUUGGCAGCACAUAUACUAAAAUUGGAACGAUACAGAGAAGAUUAGCUUGGCCCGUGCGCAAGGAUGACACGCAAAUUCGUGUAGCGUUCCAUAUUUUG
rnacentral:snRNA from 1 species